rfam:Galdieria sulphuraria unplaced genomic scaffold scaf_17, whole genome shotgun sequence.
GGUCGAUUAGCUCAAGUGGUUAGAGCGCCGUGCUAAUAACGCGGAGGUUCUGAGUUCAAGCCUCAGAUCGACCA